AACGAUGUUAAAAACUCAAGUUUUCUAAAUAAAAAUAUAAAUAACGACGGUUUUAUUGAGUUGUAUUAGUAAAAUGUUCCAAUGAAUAACGUAAACAACUUUGAAUAGUCAGUCGUGGCGACAUAUGAGUAUAUUUAAGUUUAUGCUAAGUAAAAAUAUUCAAAACUUGUUAUUGUUGUUUUAAGGAACGUCAUGUGGUGGUAGACCUUCUCCGCGGCGGACAGGUGAGCCAGAGCCGCCAGCAGCGCGCUCCACAUGGGCCCGGCGCCGCGGCUCAGGUCCUUCUCCUUCUCCACGUAGUCCUUGGCCCGGUCGAACGACAGCAUCCCCAGCUGCGUGAAGAAGCUCUCCAGGAUGGCGCGCUCCCGGGGGACGGGACGGAGCUCCUCCGCCUCCGUCAUGGUGAUGACGGGCUCAGCGGGCCGCGGCAGCUACCGACCCACCGGGGCGGGUAACAGUCGCUCGGACCGAACCCUCGCUGGAGACUGACCGUACAGACUUUACGAAACAACCGACAUCCUUAAAGUGUCGCCAUGAGGAGAGAAAAACAUGAAAACAUGUCUGAAAUCAGUCUGCUGCUUCCUCACGUGACGCCAUAUUGUUUUGGACCCUACGGAGAGCGAAGAAGGACAACAUUUCUUCGUCGUCACCAAAUAUUUAUUAAAUCUAUCGAUUUUUAAAACUAUUUAUUAAAAUAUAAUUUAGAAUUUUAAUACUGUUGUUGCGGUAUUUCAAUAAAUUUAAACUGUUGUGGUUUUUAAUUUUGAAUCAUAUUAUACUUUUAUAACGAAAAAAACAUGAACAUGAACAUGGAAAAAUCCACGAACACGUGAUCAUUUUGUUCAUUUUUCUUCAAUAAAUAACAAGCUUUUUAAGUUAAGAAGUACGAGAUUGCUACAGUAAAGAAUUAACAUAUUUUUGUGACAGUGAAGAAAAUUGUUUAGAAAAAUUGGAGAUUGACGUCAUAACUGAUUGUUUUGUGUCUCCUAUUGAUAAAUGAAAAUAAAGAUGGCGGAAAACCA